UUUUUUUCUUUUGCUAUUUGAUUUGGUUGGAUAGGGUUGAUUAAUGGUGCCAGAAGAUACAAAGGUUUAUAGGCUGGAACAGGCUCAAAUCAGAAGCAAUCGUCUCAGAGAAAUUCAAGCCUCAUAGAUCACUGAAAGUUAUUCUCAUGAUUAUCAUGUGGAAUUUGUUAUACCACACUCUCUUCCUCUUCUCUCCCUAUCUUAUCUGAAAAUGUUUUGUCAACUUUUUGAGAAUCAUCUUUCAAAGCUUUUCACUAAUACUUUGUAAAACAAAUAUAUAUUUGAAAAUUUUAAAUAUUAUUAAACACUUUUUUG